GAAUCAUUCUUAGGGUUCAAAACCUGGUAAAAAUCAUUAAUCACCCUGAUCAAUCUUUUGAACGGUCGUUUGUGUUUACUUCUUCAUGGUUUAUUCGUCCUCUGUUCUACUUCACAACCUUAACAUGAAGCGUCAAGACGAAAGUCCUCAGUGAAAAUUAGAUCUGAUUUGUUACAAUCAAUCAAACUUGGUGUAGUUUCCUACCUAAGUUUCAAGCGGGUUCUAUUUCUAAAGGUGAAUGAAAAAACAACCCGAUAAAAUCAGAAAUUCUUGGAAUCUCCAAGUCAAUAUUAAGGGGAAAAAAGUAUGAGAUCAAAGGGUGGGUUUGCACAAGUAUACAAGGCCUUUAUCAAUAGUAGUGGAGACGACGUCGUCACUUUGAAGGUAAAUAAUACGUUAAUUAAUCUAUGUGUUUUUACAACCAUGGUUUAUGAGGAAUGGUUUCUAACAUUUAAGACUCUGGCAGAUACAAAAGCCUACAUAAUAAUCAUGUUUGCUAGAAAGUGUGAUUUUAGCUUAAAGAUGCCAAAUACAAUCAUGUGUUAUUAGUUCAGUUAAUGGUUGAUUCCACUUUUACUUGAGGAGCUUAUUUUUUCAUAGGCUGAUAAAAUAACAAUAAAGAAUCAGAAAUGGAGUGAGUUGAGUCGGGAUAGUAAUAGUACUAAGUUACAAAUUACCAUUGGAGACUUUAUUUAAUAAUUCUUAUCUUCAAUUAAACUCCCAGAAAAUAAAAUAUUCUUGUCUUCAAUUGAUUACCCAAUUUGCCAAAUUUUUUCUUAUAAAGUUCUCAGUGUGGUUCUUGCAUCUUCAUAAAUCAUUAUUAACUCAUAUAUUUGCAGGUAAAAGUUGGUUUGUAUCAUGUUCUCAAUCUGCACACAUUAUUUAACAUGAUGCUGAUAUCAAGCAAUUAAUCUUUUAUGUUAGUAUUUCAUUAUACUUAAUCAACAAUCUGAAUUUCUGAAUAGAAUUGAUUUAGAAUGCAUUGGUGCAUCCAUCGCAUAGCCCUAUCCAUUCAUCUCGGUAUGUAUUUGUUAAACUUCUGAUACAAAUAAUGUUAAUAUCACGAACUUAAUGCUUAUUCAUGGAUGGUUUAUUUGUAGGUAGUCCAUGAGGAUUGAGGACGCAUGAUGACACAAAAUUUUAUGCUUUCUUGUUUCUUUAAUUACUUUUAAUUUCUUUGUUAAGUGUUAAGACUUUAUGUUAGAUAAUGUUA